rnacentral:rRNA from 1 species
AACACGGAGCUUGCUCUGUGGGAUCAGUGGCGAACGGGUGAGUAACACGUGAGCAACCUGCCCCUGACUCUGGGAUAAGCGCUGGAAACGGCGUCUAAUACUGGAUAUGUGACGUGACCGCAUGGUCUGCGUCUGGAAAGAAUUUCGGUUGGGGAUGGGCUCGCGGCCUAUCAGCUUGUUGGUGAGGUAAUGGCUCACCAAGGCGUCGACGGGUAGCCGGCCUGAGAGGGUGACCGGCCACACUGGGACUGAGACACGGCCCAGACUCCUACGGGAGGCAGCAGUGGGGAAUAUUGCACAAUGGGCGCAAGCCUGAUGCAGCAACGCCGCGUGAGGGACGACGGCCUUCGGGUUGUAAACCUCUUUUAGCAGGGAAGAAGCGAAAGUGACGGUACCUGCAGAAAAAGCGCCGGCUAACUACGUGCCAGCAGCCGCGGUAAUACGUAGGGCGCAAGCGUUAUCCGGAAUUAUUGGGCGUAAAGAGCUCGUAGGCGGUUUGUCGCGUCUGCUGUGAAAUCCGGAGGCUCAACCUCCGGCCUGCAGUGGGUACGGGCAGACUAGAGUGCGGUAGGGGAGAUUGGAAUUCCUGGUGUAGCGGUGGAAUGCGCAGAUAUCAGGAGGAACACCGAUGGCGAAGGCAGAUCUCUGGGCCGUAACUGACGCUGAGGAGCGAAAGGGUGGGGAGCAAACAGGCUUAGAUACCCUGGUAG